AUGGCGACCGGCGCACGGGUGAGUAACACGUAUCCAACCUGCCGAUGACUCGGGGAUAGCCUUUCGAAAGAGAGAUUAAUACCCGAUGGCAUAGUUCUUCCGCAUGGUGGAACUAUUAAAGAAUUUCGGUCAUCGAUGGGGAUGCGUUCCAUUAGGUUGUUGGCGGGGUAACGGCCCACCAAGCCUUCGAUGGAUAGGGGUUCUGAGAGGAAGGUCCCCCACAUUGGAACUGAGACACGGUCCAAACUCCUACGGGAGGCAGCAUG
rnacentral:rRNA from 1 species